GGAUGCUCAAGCAGAAAAUUGAAAUACCUUUGGGUCCAGUUAGAGACCUUCCUAGCUUUCAGCUGCCUUACUUUUGCUGAAACAAACUCAGGAUCUUAGAGAAUUUGCCCAUCUGCUCAGCAUAUUCAGGCUAAAGACCUUUGCAUCUGAUUCCUAAUGAGCUGAACUCAUCCUCCCAAAUCAAUUGGAAUGCGAGAGAAGACUGUGCAUGCUUCUAAUAAAAAUUUGGAACCAAAAGAAGUUUAAAAAGCCGAAAGUGACUAAGUGCUGCUAUCCCAUGCCCCAAAGGACCAUGAUCGCUUGUCUGGACCCAGAAAAUAUUUCCCAUUUGCUACACAGAUGCCGUCUCAUCCUUCCAGAGUUCAAGACUUCAGCAGAAAAAAAAAUCACCUCAUUAAAGGAAAAUUGUGCCUUAUCCCCACUACUCGAAGAUGCAACCAUCUGCCUGGUCACAGCCACUUUUUUCCUUUUUUUCUCACUCCAUCGUAUGUGUGUGUGGUGGGGCAGGGGAUAAGGGGAAUAAUCUCUCUCCAGUAUAAGAAGGUAAUGAUUCAAAGAUUUAAAUGCUAAACUUCUGGGACUUCGGGACUUACUAUAAAACUAGAUAAGAUCAACAACAACAAAAACAAUGCUUUCUAUUGAAAUUUGUACAGUUUUGCAAGUUCAUUUCUGCUCUUCGUCUGUUGAAGCAUCAAUAAAGUCCAAGAAAAAUACUGGGAAUCAGAUUCAUGCCCAAAGUGACCCUGUGGCAGUUGAGGAUUGACUGGGCUAGAAGACCAAAGUUUAAAGCGCAAGUUAAUCUGAGACAGAGAAAUGAAAGAGAAGAUGAGAAAGAAAAGUGGCCUCAAAAUAAGAGGAACUAGGGUCCUGGCUCAGAGGCUCAUGCCUGUAAUUCCAUCACUUUGGGAGGCCGAGGUGGGCAGAUCACCCGAGGUCAGGAGUUCCAGACCAGCCUGGCCAACAUGGUGAAACCCCGUAUCUACUAAAAAUACAAAAAUUAGCUGGGCAUGGGGGCGCCUUAAUCCCAGCUACUUGGGAGUCAGAGACAGGAGAAUCAUUUGAAUCUGGAGGUGGAAGUUGCAGUGAGCCAAGAUCCCAGCCAUUGCACUCAAGCCUGGGGGACAAGAGCAAGACUUAUCUCAAAAAAAAAAAAAAAAAAGGAACUAGGACACAAGCAAGAACAGAAGUAGGAUAUGCAAAUGCUUUCUUUGAAAGCUGGGGGCAGGUGAAUGGCUUUCCUGUACUGCUAUAAAGGUACAAAAUGGAGGCAGGCACUCUUUAGAGAGGUUUAGUUUGAAAAUAAGAUUUUCAAACUUUACCCCCAAUGAAGUACAACUAGCCUUAAAUUCCACCCCACCCACCACCUCCACAAAAAAAGAAAAAAUAAAAAGAAAAUAUCUAUCAAAAAGCAUUAGUCAUGGAAAGGACUUAAUCUUGAAAAUGAAAGCAACAAAGUUGUUAAAUGUAGACAGACACUAAGCUGCUUACAACAAUAUUUGCUUACAUUAUAGCAUCUAAUAUAAGAUGUUAUUUGCUCAUUGUUUAUUAUGUACUCCAUGCUCUCACAAGAAGCUUAGCUUUGAUUUUUUUCUUAAUUUUGGUGGCUUAAAUUUGAAAAUUUAACUUUGCAUUAAAGGAGGGUUUUUAUUUAAUUAAAGAAUGUAUUCUGGAGCUUGAUUACAAAUUAAAAUCCAACAUUUGCUUAACGUGGAUGGGUUUACAAUUAUAGGAAAAACUUUUUGCACUUCAUGAUUUAGUGGCUGUUUAACUUUGUACUCAAUAUAGUAAUUAAUAUAUGUUGCUGCAUUUAAUUUUCUGUUUAAUUUUUUAAAAUAAAAAGGUAAAGGAUGUUUGCUGCUUUUAAGGAGAUUUACCUGCAUAACUUCAUUACUCUGCGUGAUCGUAUAAUGGCCCCAUCUGAGUUAUCCACCAAACUGAUGUUUAUACCUACAAUGUCAUCUGUUCUCUUUCAAAACUAAUUGUGUCACACCAUUGGUGUUGGUUUAUAUUAUACUUAUUUGAUAGGCCUAGAUUUAUUAAAUAUCUUUUAUGACACUUGGGCUAAGUUAUGCUUAUAUAGAAAUGUAAUAUAC
rnacentral:lncRNA from 10 species